GUCCCCACCACCCUUCCCUGUUAACAUCACCCACAGUUUAUACUUUUUUUCUUAGAAAACCAACGGCUCUUUUAAGAGCCACUUCAAUAAUCAACUCACUCACUCACUCUCCUCAAAAAUGCUAGGCCAGGGGUCAACAACUAGAAAAUGUGUGGUCUGCCAUACACAACUAAAUGUAGCUUGCAAAACCUGCAACACAUGCAAGGUAGAGCAGCCACAUAAGCUUCGGGUAAAAAAGAACUGAAGAAAUUUGAUCAGAAGCGGGAGAGCUGGGUGCAUGAUGAAGAUGAAGAUAUGGAAGAUAUGCUGGCCUGGAAGAAAACCAAAUGCUUGGGGGUCUGAGGUUUUGACACCCCGUUGUCACUUGACUGAGACAUCCAUUACAUGCUUGGAAAGAUUAAAGAACCUAUUCAAGGCGGGACCUCACAAGGUGUUGCAGAACAAGUCAAUAAAACCUCAUCAGCCCGAGUUGAAUCCCCAACUGGACCACAAAUGGCCCAACCUGAUCUCCAGGUACCAGUGGCCCUGCCUCAUACCAGAGCAGCUCCAACUGGACCACCAGCAGCCCUUAUUGGACCACCAAACUCCCCAAUUUGACAGCCAGUAUCCCUUUUAGGGCCCUCAGGACACCAUGCAACCCCACUGCAUCUGGGAAAAGAAACCCAUUACCCAGAUGGACUCCCAAGAGCCUCGCCAGUUUCUCUUGGAAAAGAUGGUGUGAAAGAAGGCUUUCCAGCUCUCACUACAGUGCGGCCAGAUCAAAGGAAAGGGCCAGAAAUGGAAGCAGGUGGAGUGGGAGUCAUGCAAACUUUGAUAAAAGAAGUGGCCAUUGGAGUGGGUGGCGGAUGGGGACACUUGUUAGUGCUUCGGCAUCUUCUUGGGGACCUGAUACAAUAAGAAGCACUAUUAUUUUCUUUGUGUAACUUGUUUUUCUUUUAUGUUUUAAACAAACACUUGUUUCCUGGACCCUUUUAUUGCUCCUCCUUUCAGGUUUGCUUUUUUGCACUUUUUUGGAUAUUAAUACUGAAUACUGUUAAUACUGUUUUGCA